UGCUCUGAGCCCAGCGCUCCGGCUGGGUCCAGGAGGCUGCCUCCACUCCGACUCUGAACCUGCCUCCCGCCGCCAGCGGUCUAAAGGAGGCGGUCCAGUUCAAUGUUUCCUCCACCUGGAAUGUUCCCAGACGUGGGAGGAGCCCUUACCGGUUAGCAGCCCCCACCCGGUUCGGCGCGAGGGUCUCAGUUCCGUGCAUUUAAAGCGCAGCUGAGGAAUGCAGCAGCUAAACUCCCCCCAAAGAAGCAGCGCCUCCUCGCCGCGCACCCACUGGCGCCCGAAAGCACGAGUCCCCUCCCCCACCCCUCCUUUCCCAAACCUUCAACUUCCAAGCGUCCCAGAUUCAUUUGGAGUAGGAGUAGCGCUUUGGGGCAAUGGGGUAAUUUGGCCCACCGGGGGUCCUUUUGACUCCGACCUAGUUCCGCCGAUCCCCGGUCUCCCAGCCUUCCCACACCGCCGCCUCAAAUUCCAAGAGCUGGCUCAGAGAAACGGCGAGGAAUCCCCCAGGGACUGCCCGGCCAGCUUGCCCGCCGCUCCCCGCGCGGUCCCAGAUGCACGGAGAACGCGCGGAGCUCCUACAUCUGCGCAGAAACCCGGGGUGGGGUAGCCGCGGGGUGGGCGCUGGCCACAAGGAGUCCGGGGUGCGUGGCCGUUGCCGAGAAAAGCUUUCGGAAGAGGCAAGAGUAUUCCAGCACAGGGACGUCGACAUGAAGAGAAAGGUGGACGCAAACUCGGUCAUUCAAAGUCUCUCCCACCCCGCCGCCUCCACUACCCAGCAGGGGGAAAAAAAGAGAAGAAGAAAGAAAGAAAGAAACGGGAAGAAAGUAGUUGCGCCGGGCUCUCUCGCGGGGCCGCGCGCGGAGCUGCUCGAUUUUCCUCUCUAGGCAGAAGGGCCUUUCUUGCCCCUUCCCCCUGGCGGCUUGGGUCUAAUGUGCAAACUCCUCCUCCAAACCUUAGACCCUUCCAGCUCUAGAUCUCUCCCCACCUCCUAUCAAGCCCACCCGUCACUCCUUCCCCCACCCCACAACGCGAACACGCCCAAGGACAAUCACUCCCCAGCGAACUCGCUGCUCUCAGGGACCAGUACCCAGGACGCUGUGCGGGAGGUCAAGGACAGCGGAGUCAAGAGCCGGCGUCAGGUUAAAAAAAUCCAAAUUCCUACGACUUGUUUGAGAAUUUGUUCAAACACCGAGAAGCACGGGCACUGCGCCUACCAGAUCAGGCCGAACCCGACGCAGAGCAAGGCUGCGGGGUCCGAGCGGAGAUGCUGUGCACGGACUGGCCGCCACACUUUGCCAGGACCUAGGCAAGCACAGGAAGAGUUUGUAUUGUUUUCCAACUGGGAGUUGGGGGGGGGGGGUGGUGUCCUGCACUGGUGGGUCUGUCUUUGCUUGCAAUCAACACGCCUUGUAAUAUGAGAGGUGACACCUUAAUCUUGCCAAAUAUGUGUGGUGCCUUUGAGGGGGGGUGCGUAGAGGGAGGGGCUGAGGGAAGGAGAGAGGGAGAGAGAGAGAACCAGACAGAAGCAGAGGGUAAAAGAUGCAUUUUCCUCACUUUUUUUCCAAAUGGAGAGCUACUGGUCCUUUCCUUUGUGGAAGACCUUUUUCAGAAAAUCUCCCUCUAGCCGGCAAGCUGCCUUUUCCUUCACUGUUUUCCUUUCUGUUUCAGAGUAAAAGAUUCUUCUCUCCUCUCUAAAGAAGACUAGGGAUUGAUGCCUAUGUCUCUCUCUUGGCUUCCAAGAGUAGCAAGGUGAUCAAAGAGGAAGGUGACUUGAAAAAGGAGUAGAAGGUGUAUAUUUUUAAAAAGAGUAAAAGAUAAUUGUAUGUAAUGUAGAUUCAUUUUGGAACUGCAGAACAUUGGGACUUCUAAGCAAAUCCGUUUCUCUAAAUAGAGGAAAAUCUUAGUGGUAUAGACAGCUAAAGCAAAGAACAGAACUGGGAAGUAAGCUGAUGAGUUCAUGCCCCAUAGACAGUGCUGGGUGUGGAAGUCCAUCUAGGACUAGGUCUUUUCUGAUUAGCCAGGUAAUCGCUUCUCUUCAAGUUGACUCCUUGGUCAUGGCCUUGACCAUCCAUCUGUUGACUGUAUUUUUAGGUUGCUGAACUUUCUUUUUCUCCCUGAAAGUUGUUUGUGAGGGCAGGAACUAGAUCCAGUGAUUGAAAGCCCCCUUACAAAAUCUCUCCUAAAGCAAAUUUCUGGAGCAUGCUUUCUGCCCACCCUUAUCUUUUGCAAUAGCACCACUCUGUGGUUGAAACACUGAACAGAAACAAAAUGGAAAUGUUGGAAAGAAUUAUGCCCUUACCUUGUGAGAAAUAGUAUUGAUCUACUGGAUGUUUCAGUUAAAUGGAUUGUGUGUUGCAGGGGCUGCUCAGCAUAUGACAAGGGAGGGGGUCUUGUGCAGUAGGGGAAUGCAGUUAAUUCGUUAUGACACAGUGACCCAGGAAAUGAGAGAACUGGGCCGAAUGGCCUCCAAGGACCCUUCCCUCUGUGACCGCAUGUGGCAAGGCAAGCUUGGUUCUUUUCCCCAGCACCAUACAGCUAGCCUUGAAUAUUUGUCCUCUCCUAUUGUGUGUGGGUUUUUUUCCUGCCUUAGAUUGCUAAACUAUACUCCACACCUUAGCCUAUCCUAAAGUAUCUGCAAGUUGCCUCUUCUGCUGCUGGAGGGCACUGUGGAGAGGUUUGCAGAAUGCUUGCACCUACUUUCUCUUGCUCCACCCUGUCCAUCCAUCCCCACCCCCACUCACUCAGACAGCUGCUUGAGCUCCUGGAGCCCGAAAGUCUAUGUUUCUGAAACAAUUAAAGUGCCUGCAAAAGGUGUUUGCAUAGGGAUUGCGAAUUUAAGGGCCCAGUAAGGCUGUGUGCUACCUUGGCUCCUGGCACUCAAAAGAUUCCUGGCUGCCCACCCAUUACUACACACUUGUAACUAUAGCAUUAUUAGCCAACAGUCAUGUGAGCCCAUGGUGCCAAUUAGCGACUCCGCCCAAAUGUCCUGAAGAGUGGUGGGAGCCAUUAUUCUUUUUUUUUUUUUUCAAAAUGGGUACAGAUGUCUGUAGAAACUGAGUGACUUUAUGUUCAUUCAGCAAACCCAGGUCUUCCCUAAAAUGUCCAUCAUCUUGAGGAAGUGCAGCUUUGAUGCUAUCAACCUUGAGCUCUCAACAGAGUAGGGAGACAGAUCUAAUUCUAUCAGCCUCUGUGUCCCCCCACCCCCUACGUUUAAUAGUUAAGGAUGCUAAGGCUCUGGCUUCUCCAUAAAUUUCCCCAGGGAAAUAAACGAACAAACAAGCAAACAAAAAACCAAACAUAGUAACAGAUCAGGAAGUAGAACUCAUUAAAAGAGUGGGUCUUGGAAUUGUACAAACCUAGAUUCCAUGCUCCCUUCUUCACUGGUAGCUGUGUGUCUUUGAUAGGUUCCUGAACUUCUCAGAAACUGUCUGUAAUUGGCAGAAACAAUGCCAACCUCAUAGGAGUAUUAUGGGGGCCACAUGAACUAAUUGAUUUAAAAUGCUGGGCACAGUCCAGCACAGUGAAGGCACCAACUCCCAAUCUGAUAGCCCUUCUACUGGAAACACCGCCAACCACAUGGGUGGGGGAUCUGAGCCUUUAGAAAAAGCUCCGGAAUGUCCUCUUUGUUACUUGUAAGCUGUCUUGAAACAUUUCAUUAAUGUAGCUUUAUGGUUAUAUAUUUUUCCCUUGGACAAAGACAGAAAGAACAUAGCAGAAUGAAGUAGUGGACAUAUUUGGAAUUUAGUUUCCUAAUGCGGGCCUCAGAGAGCAUGAAAGACCUAGUUGAAGGAUUUCAGAAUCUCAUCUUGUUUGUUCUUUGUCUCUAAGGCAGAACUGCCUCAUCAUGUAAAAGGAAAUUCCACCAUGUCCUUCAACUUGUAACAGAUUGCCUAGUAUAUUAUUGGUUUGUUGUUAUUGCUAAUUAUGUUCUAGGGCUUAGAUUGAACAAUAUGAUGAAUUGCAUUGAAUAACAAUGGAUCAACUCAUUUUGUGAAAUAGCAUACAUAUUCAUAAUUAUGUUUCAAGAAAUUACCCAUAAUGAUAGAGGGAAGGUAUGUAUUCCUACCACACAGGUGGAUCUAGAAAUCAUAAUAAAGUCUCCUAUUUCACCAGUCAUGACAUGAAUUCCUAACCACCCUAUAAAUUAACUUUAUGCUGCACCAAACUCCACUCAUAUAAAAAAUGACAUUAAGGUUUCCUAGGUAACUAAUGCACUUCCAAAGGGAAUAGGCCUCAGGAGACAAAGAGGGCAGGGAAAAGGGUGGGGGGUGGGGAAGUGAAGAAAAAGAAAAAAAAGAACAUUAGAUUAGACUCAUGUGACAUAAACAAAAUAUUUCAUGGGGAAGGACUCAUAAAGUUUUAUUGCCUAGGUUUGACAUAGAUAUGGCACAGCUAUUAAUUCCAUCUUUGGAUAAUAAAAUACUCAAUAGGCUAGCCGUCUCAUUAGGGAUGCCAGCAUUUCAUAUUGGAGGUUCAGAUUAACAAAUGGUGAGAGAAAUCAGUCUUUUUCAUUUAUCUGCUAAGCUGUGUCCACUCACCAGCCAGCUGUUUCUUGAGCCCUCUAUGGUUGUAUUUAGACAUAACCAAAUUUUUGAUAUGAACGUGAAAAAUAGGACUGAUUUGGAUGUUUUAAAAUAUGCAGAUGCUUUUGAUCUUAUAGACUGGGAGCAGGUUGAAGGGACAGGCUCCAGGUCGGGUUUCCCACCACUCCUACUCCCACCUGCUGGUCUUUUUAUUGUGGCUUCCUUCUUCUGGGGAAGGGCCUGGGGGCAGAAGAACAUUUGAAGGCCUAGGAGGAAAUGGAAGAUGGUAGGUGGAGCAUAGAUUUUAAUUUAUGCUGGAAGAAUUUUGAGCAAUUCUGAAAGAUGGUGAAACCCAGAUAAUGUCUAUGAGCUGGAGCCUGGAAGAAUUAGAACAUGAACUAGCUUUGUUGCUGCUUUGUGAGCUGGGGGACUUCACUAACCUUUCCAGUGUCUUGGUUUUACCAUGUGUAAAAGGAACUUAACCUCAUUUUCUUGUGUAAUUGGGAAUAUAGAUAAGAAAACAAAGAAAUACGUUAAUUUGAAUAAAGUCGAGGGUUUUGUAUUACCUGCUUUCCACCUACAGUAGCCUCAGAGUGAUGUCUGUGGGUGGAGACUCCCAACUGGUUACAAGCCACAUCCAGAAUUCAAGGCUGGGGGAACCUGGAAAAGGUCACUUCAUCCAUCCUCCUGACCUUGAGACCAGUCCUCACUCUCCACUGGCAAGUUAGGGUAAGCAGGGAGUCCAUGGUUCAGAUGAGAAUGGAAUCAUAAUUGGCAGCAGAUUCGAAGUAUGAAUCACUGGUCCACACUCCAUAUCUCAAAUUGGAAAACUGGCGACAAUGUCGAAUCAAUGAAUGAAUGACUUAUGUUCUUUCAGAUGGGAAAGUGCCUGAGAUUCCUCUGAUCAAAUCCCCCAUUUUACAGAGGAAGUUAUUUAGAGGCUCAUCAGUGAGAGUGUGGAAAUCAAACUCUUGAUUCCCAGGAUGCUGUUCUUAGUCUCUUCUCUAUACAACUCUCAGGAAAUAAACAUAUCUCAUGCUUUUCUUCUGGAAAUGUUUUCCAUUUUCCUCUAAUCCGUUCCUCACCUUUUCUUCUUUCCUUUAUUUCAUAACUUGCCUCAACUUAGUUUAAUAUUUCAUUUCCUUUAUUUUGUUACCAUUGUGCACCACUGACAAAACGAGAGAAAAUUAACUUCACAUGCAGAAGGAAAGCUUGCAGUAGGAACAGGAAAAGACUUUUAAUCACAGGAGAGGUCAAAGGACAACUUUAAUAGUGGAAUAGAUACUUUCCCAUUGGUUAGUCCUUUCUGAAGAGAGGACUAAUUAGAUGAAUUCUAUUUUUCAAUAAUGUUAUAGAUAACCUUUUCAGACUUUUCAGAGUGAAUCUUUUUUUCCCCAAAUUAUUCUUCUUGCUUUUUAAAGAUUUCUUUCCUUUAUAUUAAAGAUGGCAAAGGAUCUA